UACGAAGGGGGCUAGCGUUGCUCGGAAUCACUGGGCGUAAAGCGCACGUAGGCGGAUUGCUAAGUCAGGGGUGAAAUCUCGGAGCUCAACUCCGAAAUUGCACUGGAUACUGCUCUGCUAGAGGGCUGGAGAGGAGAUCGGAAUUCACGGUGUAGCAGUGAAAUGCGUAGAUAUCGUGAGGAAGACCAGUGGCGAAGGCGGAUCUCUGGACAGCUCCUGACGCUGAGGCGCGAAGGCUAGGGGAGCAAACGGG
rnacentral:rRNA from 1 species